AUCCAGACUCCUACGGGAGGCAGCAGUGGGGAAUAUUGGGCAAUGGGCGCAAGCCUGACCCAGCAAUGCCGCGUGAAGGAAGAAGGCUUUCGGGUUGUAAACUUCUUUGACAGGGGAAGAGCAGAAGACGGUACCCUGAAAACAAGCCACGGCUAACUACGUGCCAGCAGCCGCGGUAAUACGUAGGUGGCAAGCGUUAUCCGGAUUUAUUGGGUGUAAAGGGCGUGUAGGCGGGAGCGCAAGUCAGAUGUGAAAACUCAGGGCUCAACCCUGAGCCUUCAUUUGAAACUGUGUUUCUUGAGUGCUGGAGAGGCAAUCGGAAUUCCGUGUGUAGCGGUGAAAUGCGUAGAUAUACGGAGGAACACCAGUGGCGAAGGCGGAUUGCUGGACAGUAACUGACGCUGAGGCGCGAAAGCGUGGGGAGCAAACAGGAUUAGAUACCCGGGUAAUA
rnacentral:rRNA from 1 species